UCAGUGCUCCGGCUGCUUCAAAGCUCACUCUGCCCGCCAUUCUUUCUAUGACUGGCUCCUGUGUUUGCCAAUCAAAUCUCAGCCUCAUCUGCCUCUAACUGAGCAGCCUACUUGAACACAUCUAAAGCAGUCACUUUAUAAAAUUUGUACUAUCUUAAUUCUCUGCACAGCACUCAUUUCCUUAUUUGCUUGGUGUGUUUCCACCUGCCUCUAAAAUGUAGGCUCUUUGAUAAUCUUCUUGCAACAUCCCGUCUGAUAAAUACCUGGUCCAUAUGAGUAUUCAAUAAAUAAAUAUCUGCAUCUGAGACAUGAAUCUGAUGGCAAGGACACAGAGUAGAUGAACUCUUCCUCCAAACUGGAGUCUGAGUUCUGGGUCUCAAGAAUAAACAAUGAGAAAGACACAGCUGCUCUCUGCAUUGCUCUCUGGAAGUGACAACAUGAAUGACUCUCUGGAGGGACCUCCUGCUUCUACGGAUACUUAUUUGGUAAAAACGCCUGCUCUAUGGUAAUGAUCAAUGUUUUAUUUAUUCUGUCCAUCAGUAACUAAUAUUGGAGAACUUUUACAAUAUUAAUGGAGGUCAAUCUAAGAGAAGUUCAACUUACGUUUUUCAAAAUAUUUUAAUACUGGGUAAUAAGAGAAAUGAUUAUGGUCAAAAUUAUUAUGCCAAAACCUG